rnacentral:tRNA from 1 species
AGGGGUAUCGCCAAGCGGUAAGGCACCGGAUUUUGAUACCGGCAUUCCCUGGUUCGAAUCCAGGUACCCCAGCCA